CUACGGGUUGCUGCAGUGGGGAAUAUUGGACAAUGGGGGAAACCCUGAUCCAGCAAUGCCGCGUGUGUGAAGAAGGCCUGCGGGUUGUAAAGCACUUUCGGUUGGGAGGACUGCUUCUAGCACUAAUAUUGUUGGAAGUUGACGUUACCUUCAGAAGAAGCACCGGCUAACUCCGUGCCAGCAGCCGCGGUAAUACGGGAGGGUGCAAGCGUUAAUCGGAAUUACUGGGCGUAAAGCGCGCGUAGGCGGCUAGAUCAGUCGGGUGUGAAGCCCCGGGCUUAACCUGGGAACUGCAUCCGAUACUGUCUAGCUUGAGUACAGGAGAGGAGAGUGGAAUUCCACAUGUAGCGGUGAAAUGCGUAGAUAUGUGGAGGAACACCAAUGGCGAAGGCAGCUCUCUGGCCUGAUACUGACGCUGAGGUGCGAAAGCGUGGGGAGCAAACAGGAUUAGAUACCCCUGUAGUC
rnacentral:rRNA from 1 species